rnacentral:tRNA from 1 species
CAAGUAUUAGUUUAUUUAAAAUUUUAAUUUUGGAGAUUAACGAUAAUUAUGAUUAUACUUGA